rnacentral:tRNA from 1 species
GGGGUUAUAGCUCAGUUGGUAGAGCGCUUGCUUAGCGUAAUCGAAAUUUCGAUAUGCAUGAGGUCUUGGGUUCAAUUCCCAAUAACUCCA